CAGUAACGGCGAGUGAAGCGGCAACAGCUCAAAUUUGAAAUCUGGCUCCUUCGGGGCCCGAGUUGUAAUUUGUAGAAGAUGCUUCGGGUGUGGCCCGGUCUAAGUUCCUUGGAACAGGACGUCACAGAGGGUGAGAAUCCCGUCUGACCGGCCGCCUAUGCCCGUGUGAAGCUCUUUCGACGAGUCGAGUUGUUUGGGAAUGCAGCUCUAAAUGGGUGGUAAAUUUCAUCUAAAGCUAAAUAUUGGCCAGAGACCGAUAGCGCACAAGUAGAGUGAUCGAAAGAUGAAAAGCACUUUGGAAAGAGAGUUAAACAGUACGUGAAAUUGUUGAAAGGGAAGCGCUUGCAACCAGACUUGCGCGUCGCCGAUCAUCUGGUGUUCUCACCGGUGCGCUCGGCGACGUUCAGGCCAGCAUCAGUUCGGGUGGUUGGAUAAAGGCCCUGGGAAUGUGGCUCCCCUCGGGGAGUGUUAUAGCCCAGGGUGCAAUGCAGCCCACCGGGACUGAGGACCGCGCUUCGGCUAGGAUGCUGGCGUAAUGGUUGUAAGCGACCCGUCUUGAAACACGGACCAAGGAGUCUAACAUCGAUGCGAGUGUUUGGGUGUCAAACCCAUGCGCGUAAUGAAAGUGAACGGAGGUGAGAACCCCCCGGGGUGCAUCAUCGACCGAUCCUGAUGUCUUCGGAUGGAUUUGAGUAAGAGCAUUGCUGUUGGGACCCGAAAAAUGGCGAACUAUACUUGAAUAGGGUGAAGCCAGAGGAAACUCUGGUGGAGGCUCGCAGCGGUUCUGACGUGCAAAUCGAUCGUCAAAUUUGGGUAUAGGGGCGAAAGACUAAUCGAGCCAUUUAGUAGCU
rnacentral:rRNA from 1 species